rnacentral:misc_RNA from 1 species
GAUGAAGAACGUAGCGAAAUGCGAUAAGUAAUGUGAAUUGCAGAAUUCAGUGAAUCAUCGAAUCUUUGAACGCACAUUGCGCCCGCCAGUAUUCUGGCGGGCAUGCCUGUUCGAGCGUCAUUUCAACCAUCAAGCCCCCGGCUUGUGGUGGGGACCUGCGGCUGCCGCAGGCCCUGAAAAGCAGUGGCGGGCUCGCUGUCACACCGAGCGUAGUAGCAUACAUCUCGCUCUGGGCGUGCUGCGGGUUCCGGCCGUUAAACCACCUUCAUAACCCAAGGUUGACCUCGGAUCAGGUAGGAAGACCCGCUGAACUUAAGCAUAUCAAUAAGCGGAGGA